rnacentral:rRNA from 3 species
CUGUGAGGCAUGCUGGAGGUAUCAGAAGUGCGAAUGCUGACAUAAGUAACGAUAAAGCGGGUGAAAAGCCCGCUCGCCGGAAGACCAAGGGUUCCUGUCCAACGUUAAUCGGGGCAGGGUGAGUCGACCCCUAAGGCGAGGCCGAAAGGCGUAGUCGAUGGGAAACAGGUUAAUAUUCCUGUACUUGGUGUUACUGCGAAGGGGGGACGGAGAAGGCUAUGUUGGCCGGGCGACGGUUGUCCCGGUUUAAGCGUGUAGGCUGGUUUUCCAGGCAAAUCCGGAAAAUCAAGGCUGAGGCGUGAUGACGAGGCACUACGGUGCUGAAGCAACAAAUGCCCUGCUUCCAGGAAAAGCCUCUAAGCAUCAGGUAACAUCAAAUCGUACCCCAAACCGACACAGGUGGUCAGGUAGAGAAUACCAAGGCGCUUGAGAGAACUCGGGUGAAGGAACUAGGCAAAAUGGUGCCGUAACUUCGGGAGAAGGCACGCUGAUAUGUAGGUGAAGUCCCUCGCGGAUGGAGCUGAAAUCAGUCGAAGAUACCAGCUGGCUGCAACUGUUUAUUAAAAACACAGCACUGUGCAAACACGAAAGUGGACGUAUACGGUGUGACGCCUGCCCGGUGCCGGAAGGUUAAUUGAUGGGGUCAGCGCAAGCGAAGCUCUUGAUCGAAGCCCCGGUAAACGGCGGCCGUAACUAUAACGGUCCUAAGGUAGCGAAAUUCCUUGUCGGGUAAGUUCCGACCUGCACGAAUGGCGUAAUGAUGGCCAGGCUGUCUCCACCCGAGACUCAGUGAAAUUGAACUCGCUGUGAAGAUGCAGUGUACCCGCGGCAAGACGGAAAGACCCCGUGAACCUUUACUAUAGCUUGACACUGAACAUUGAGCCUUGAUGUGUAGGAUAGGUGGGAGGCUUUGAAGUGUGGACGCCAGUCUGCAUGGAGCCGACCUUGAAAUACCACCCUUUAAUGUUUGAUGUUCUAACGUGGACCCGUGAUCCGGGUUGCGGACAGUGUCUGGUGGGUAGUUUGACUGGGGCGGUCUCCUCCUAAAGAGUAACGGAGGAGCACGAAGGUUGGCUAAUCCUGGUCGGACAUCAGGAGGUUAGUGCAAUGGCAUAAGCCAGCUUGACUGCGAGCGUGACGGCGCGAGCAGGUGCGAAAGCAGGUCAUAGUGAUCCGGUGGUUCUGAAUGGAAGGGCCAUCGCUCAACGGAUAAAAGGUACUCCGGGGAUAACAGGCUGAUACCGCCCAAGAGUUCAUAUCGACGGCGGUGUUUGGCACCUCGAUGUCGGCUCAUCACAUCCUGGGGCUGAAGUAGGUCCCAAGGGUAUGGCUGUUCGCCAUUUAAAGUGGUACGCGAGCUGGGUUUAGAACGUCGUGAGACAGUUCGGUCCCUAUCUGCCGUGGGCGCUGGAGAACUGAGGGGGGCUGCUCCUAGUACGAGAGGACCGGAGUGGACGCAUCACUGGUGUUCGGGUUGUCAUGCCAAUGGCACUGCCCGGUAGCUAAAUGCGGAAGAGAUAAGUGCUGAAAGCAUCUAAGCACGAAACUUGCCCCGAGAUGAGUUCUCCCUGACCCUUUAAGGGUCCUGAAGGAACGUUGAAGACGACGACGUUGAUAGGCCGGGUGUGUAAGCGCAGCGAUGCGUUGAGCUAACCGGUACUAAUGAACCGUGAGGCUUAACCUUACAACGCCGAAGGUGUUU